UCAUUCUGUGGCCAAAAGGUGAGUAACGCGUGGAUUCCCUACCUAUGAAAUGGGGAUAACUAUUAGAAAUAGUAGCUAAUACCGAAUAAGGUCAGUUAAUUUGUUAAUUGAUGAAAGGAAGCCUUUAAAGCUUCGCUUGUAGAUGAGUCUGCGUCUUAUUAGCUAGUUGGUAGGGUAAAUGCCUACCAAGGCAAUGAUAAGUAACCGGCCUGAGAGGGUGAACGGUCACACUGGAACUGAGAUACGGUCCAGACUCCUACGGGAGGCAGCAGCUAAGAAUCUUCCGCAAUGGGCGAAAGCCUGACGGAGCGACACUGCGUGAAUGAAGAAGGUCGAAAGAUUGUAAAAUUCUUUUAUAAAUGAGGAAUAAGCUUUGUAGGAAAUGACAAAGUGAUGACGUUAAUUUAUGAAUAAGCCCCGGCUAAUUACGUGCCAGCCAGCCGCAA
rnacentral:rRNA from 1 species